UAAAAGCAAAGCAAUUAACAUGAAAUCAAAACUGAAUACAAACUAAAUAUAUGGAAAACACAAAGCCAAAUAAAUGGAUAAACAAGCCUAUCUAUUCUGAUACAUACAUUGGAUAGAUGCCAUGAGUAUAUUAACCGUUCGAUAACUCAGCAUCAGAAGUUCUCUCUGUGAUACCAAGAGAAAAAUCACCUGAGGAAAGAAUAAGAACCUGGAAGUCGUGAGGAUAAGUGAUGGAAACAUUCUUGAGGCUCGGAAUCUGAAAACACAAGGAGUUUGGACCUGGAUACUAAUUUAACCCAGUUGACCUAUAUAGUAUCUCUGAACAAUCCAAACUGCUGGACAGAAUACAAAGAGAAGAACAGGCAGUCUUCAUACAGGUCAUGAUCCGGAUAGCAGUCUCCAGGUUGCUGGGAAUCCUAUGGCAAUUUGACUGUCAUCUUACAUUGAGAAGCCUACUCAUCUUGCUCUGCUAUGGACUUUUAUAAAAGUUAUGUCAUUGUAGCAGCUUGGGGAGUGUGGGAAGGAGAAGGAAUGGGAGAACUUUUUAUUUGAGCCAGAUUCUGUGAUUUUAUAUGGUGGAUCUUCUGUAAGACAGGCUUACAGAACUCCAUCCACAGAAUCAACAGUACAUGUGUAGAUGUCCAGGAGUGAGAUCAACAAGCCAGACACAGUUUUUUCAGCCUUUGAUAUAUAACAGAUGCAAUGUCACCAGUGGCCCUAAAGGUACCCUUACAGCUGUAAAAAUUAGUCAGAUAAUUUGGCUCUGAGAGUACUUGUGUACAAAAUAGCAAUGCAGUCAGUAAACACAUAUUGGAGUUUUCCCUUUCAGUCCCCAAAGGUUCUGCAAGCAGUUUAUGUCUUUUCAGCUGGAAUCACCCUGAGUUUUGCUAUGGAAAC